UCCCUUGAAAAUGUGUCUGCUGGGCAA
rnacentral:piRNA from 1 species